UGAAAAUCUACUUAUACAUGCACAGCGAAAAAUUAAAAUUAUUUCGAUUUCCAUCGAGAAUCCCUUUUUGUUUAGAUAGAAAUCGUGAUAAAGAUUGUACCUUUGAAAAAUUCUGCAAACCUUUUGCUUUUCUUUUUCUUCCCGCAAUAUUGAUUCGCCUAAAACAUAGCUGUCCAAUUGUCCAGCCUCCAACGGAUGAUCCACACAGAGAACAAGAUUGCAGCUACCAGAGCUUUCUCCUCUUGUAUUAGCAAGAAUAAUUAUGAGAAAAAACCAUGGAUUGAAAAUCCUAGUCAUGUAUUUAUAUAAGCCCAAAGGGUCUGGUCCAGUCCGGUCCAAUAUUUAAUUAAUUAAUCCAAUUAAUUAAUUAAUCCAAUUAAUUAAUCCAAUUAAUUAAUUAAUCCAAUUAAUUAAUUCGGGCCUAUAAAUAACCAAUCCAAUUAAUUUAUUUAUCCAACGAUUGUUAAAUUAAUUAAUUGACAAAUUGCAAUCUUCAAAUCCUUUUUUGUGUGUGACCCAUCAGAUUCCCGAUCACGAUGCCUAACGACGUGAAAUAUUAUUUUGAUCUAAUCAAAAUUGAUAAAUUAAAACACUCUUUUAAUUUAUCACAAAUUCACACUCACCGUCCCAGAUUGACAUCUAGUAAUGUGUCAGGGCAAUACAUGUGACGGAAAAUGUCAUGUGGUAUGACAAAAUCAAACUCGUUAAUUUACCGUGAAACUAUAAUCCCUUCGUCAAUAUGAUCCGAUCAAUUAUGAGAUAUGGAAUUGUGUCAAUCCCGAAUAUCAAUCAUAUCUUUCAAUCUACUAUUAAGUCAAUAUAAGUCGAAAACUCCUUUUCGACUUAUGAGUACACCUUGGGCAAGAAUUUCAUUAUCGACUUAAUUGAAUGAAAAAAUAUCAUAAUCUCCUACUAUCUAAGAGUGACGAAUCCUUUAUUGGUCAAUCACAACCUUCAUACGAUUCUUGACGUAUCCGAACGAUGUCGUAUUAGCGACCCUUUGCAGAGUAGCAUCCAACACCGCCAAAGUAUGAUUGUUCUCAUAUAAGGUACCAUGACGACCUCAAGUCAAAGGACCAAUUCCACUACCAAACGUUAGAGAUUAACCACUGAAACUUAGAUAGUUAUCCAUAUGGAAUCUCUCGGCGGCUCUCCAAUGUUUUGUUCUAUAACAAAAUAUCCACGUAUUCAUUUAAGUGUCACCACACUUUAACUUGUGAGAUCAGUUACUUACUUCACAAGUAAGAAAUGCCACAUGUGAUGUUCUAUCCGUAAUAACGAUAUUCAUAUCUCGUUAUUACUUACGACCACGGACGAUUUAAAAUUCAAUCAGAUGUAAUUUGUAUCUCACAAUCACAACUCCUUGUGAUUAACAAACUACGAAAAUUUGAAUUUACGAACUCUAUUAUUUAUUUAAUUAUCUAUUAAUUAAAUAAUAGAUUUGCUAUUAAAUUGCAUUAAUUAUAUAUCAAAAGUAUUUAUGUCCAAAG
rnacentral:lncRNA from 1 species